UUAUGGCCAAAUCACACUGAAAACGCUGAUUCUCGUUCGAUCACGGAGGUUAAGCAGCGUCGAGGCUGAUCAGGACUUUGAUGAGUGACCGCUUGGGAAAACUUUGUACUGUAA